rnacentral:rRNA from 1 species
AUGCAAAAGGACCCCGAACUAAACCUAGAUAACACACUGGUCCCUGCAUUUUAUAAAGAGGACCCCCACAACCAAAUGAAAAAACGCGAUCGGGUCCAAAGCACCUUCGUCACGGAUGCAACCGUGCCACCUCCGGGGACAACACCACAUGGUGCGGCAAAGCCUCCACAACACCUCGCCGCGGACUCCAUGUCGAAGAAGCACUGCCUCCCAAUUGGCUCCAUAGCCGGGAGGAAGAAGUACGGCUGCCCUUCGACCAACAGAUCCGAUGGCAUGGAAGAAACGGCCGGCAGCCAAGCGCCAUGGCCGGCGCCGUAG